UCAACAAGAAAAGUGGGCCAGGCAAAGGCAUGGAGAGUCUCUGGACUCAACUUGUGUUUAAGAAAUAGAUGAAGAAAGAGAAGAAAGACAUGUCAUUCAGUUUAUGCAAAUUAGGAUAUGCCUAACUUCCAAAUUUGCAACACAGAUUUAUAGUCUUCUUCAAAGUGUUUUCCUAAAAUCACACUACAAAUUUAUCAAUUAACUUCAUUCUUCAGUCCCUUCCUUGACCAGCUUCUGUCUUAUUCCUGAGAAAAUAUACGAGGAUGUGAUCUCAAUGAUGGGUUUGUUUCCUUGUUUAUGUUAAGACUGAAGGUCCAAAUGCAAAUAUGUUCCUGGAAAUUAAUUUGUAAUUCCUAAUGUUGUUUCAUCAUUAACAGUAUAAUACAUGAAAAACAGAGCCUAAAACACAAUUUGUUCUGUAGUUGAGAUACAGUUAUAGGUAACAGUAAAAUAAAUUUCUCUAGUCAGACGAGGACUUAUCUACUGACUUUUCAGUUUUAUACAUAGAAAUUUGCAUAUGAAAUUCUAGAAUACCAAAUCAUAAAUAAAUACUUGGAACAAAAUCUGUUCUUAUAUUAAGGACUGUUUGUAUUUACAUUAUAUCUAGUAAAAAUCAAUAUUCUUUGAACUUAUUUUGCUAAAUCUAAUAUGGUAUAUAUUAGAGUGUAUCUAUGGUCUUUCUUUGACUGGUCCCAUAAGAAGGGACAGAUCUUAGCCCCUAAUCAAUUUGCAUUUCUUUGCCAAUUUAUUAAUUUCCUUAGGAAGAAAUCAACUACAACAUAGCACUUCAUACAUGUUACUGUUCAGGACAAAACUUCACUUCUGCAUGUGAAAAUUUUAAACCUCAAAGUGUACCUUACAAUUUAAGCUAUAGUAAUUUAUAUUCAUUUUGAAUCAAAGCAAAACUUGCUCACUUAGCUCAGUUCUAUUUAAACUAAACUAUUUCAACUGUAAAAAAAAAACUAUUUCAACUGUAAAAAAAGUAACAGCAUUUUAAAAUUUCUUUAAUAUCUUGUUCUUACCUAGAAUUGCAUCUUAUCUAACAAGAGAGCUGGUAUACAUCCUGCAUACCUCUCUAUAUAAAAGUACAUCAGUAACAUUUUAAUUCAACAAACUACUAAACAUCAAUUACAUGUAGGAAUAUAUUGAGUUUAAAAUAGAAUUUCUCUGCUCUCAGUCAACUGUCAUCACUUGCUAGGGUAUAUCUGAUGUCUUUAUCCACAUUACUCAGAUGGAAUCUCAGCAAAAAUUGGACUCAACUCUUUAGUGCAAAAUUUUCAAGAAGCAUUAUAGUAGCAGAACGGCAUAGAAAAAAAGAGCUCAGUGUUUGGAGUGAGACAGAUAUGGAUUUUAAUUCUGGCUCUGCUUCCUAUGAGCUGUGUGAUUUUGAACAAGUUAAUUAACCUCUCUAAGCCACAGCCUCUUCGUCUGUAAAAUAAUACCUACCGCUGGGACCAACAUUCAGCCAGCUCACAGAGGUACUGCCAUAUUGGUAAUAAAGAGUUGAAGCACUUUCACACAUUGACAAAUAGUUUCCAUCUAAAUCCCACCAAACCCCAUGUCCCACUCUACACCAGGAUCCUCUGGACCUCCCCAAAUUCAGGAACCAAAGGGUCAACACCUCGCAAAGUGGGAGGCUUCUGAGGUUCUACUCCAGCGCUAUCAUUCUGAUUGGUCAGUACUCUUGUUCUGUUAAACAUAAAAUAAUAAACACAAAACACCUCACACAGUUAUUUUUAGGAUUUUAGUAGCUAGAAAUGCCUAGCAUUUAGCAGGAAUGUGUGUUCUGCAUCUUAAACUGUUCUAUCUAUGCUCAAUCUCAUAGUACUGAAUGUGUCUGCUGUGGCUUAUCAAGAAAAUCUCACACUUCAUAAGAUCAUAGAAGCUUUUACCCCCAAAUUCUUUCCUCCUUUCUUUGAUAGCUGGCAAUCCUGACUUCAUGUAUUUAGUGUAAAUGUAUUUAGCAAUCUUAAAAUGUAGGGAAAGGAAAGAUUUAUUAACUACAUGAAAAUGAGUUAGUUGGCUUAUUUGGAAUUUCAAAAUGAGUUCAUUUUUUACUUCAUACCCAUUACUGAAAGUCUGUACAUUGUUUCUCGUAGAGUUUGUUUGACAUUGUAUAAUCAAAUGCACACAAAAUGAAGGAGAGGAAAAGGUUUGUGAUUUGGUUUAACAAUGAAGUACGAAUUGUAAUUUCUUUGUUCCAGGCAAAAGAAAAUUCAGUUCUCAAAAGAAAUCAUAAAAUAAAUUUUUUUUCUAACUUUAUGAUUAAAGAAAAUGGCUAAUUAAGGCAAAUCAAAAUUCAAGAACUGUAUAAACCUUUGACUUUGAAAGACCAAGUGCAUAAGAAAGUAAAUAGAUGCAUUGCAAAGAGGUUUGUUUCCUUCUCUAAGGGUUUGCUGCUAGCCCCUUUUAGCAGGGAACAAUGAUAAAAUGUAUAUCUCUAUGUAUUUCUACUCAAAGCUGACCUGCAUACAUGGAUUCAAAACACUUCUGUUCCUCUCUAUUCCUGUUGGCCUGAUAAGGCAUAAUUAGUGUAGAGUAUUAGGCAGGGCAGAGAGUGGGUAGCUUGCCAAUCAGAUUUACUACUGAAACAGUGGGUGUUGCCACUUUGAGCCAUUUUUGACAAUACUGUUAGGAAUUAAAUCAUGGCAUUAGCCGAGCAUGAUUUGGACGUGGAAACCUAGUAGGUCAUCAGUUUAUGCCCCCACUCUCCAGACAAGAGGCAGGUGGAGCUGCACUAGCCCCUGCUAAUGCCACGAGCUGGAGGCUCCAGCCAGUAGAUGAGGGUUUACAGGGUUUUGUUUUUUUUUAAUUCAUCAGGCCAUAUGCUGCCAGGCUCUCAUGCAAAUAGACAAAAUUACAAAUAAUAAAAAAGAACCAACCGUUUUAGUGGUUGGCUGUUUUUUGUCACCAUUGCCAUUGAUGAGAGAGGCCAGUUAAUGAAAGAGGAGUCUUGGACUCCCAGUGACAUCAACCUAAAGGGAUGGAUACUUCAAAAUCCAAGCUUCAUUCAAAUCAUGUUAAACCUCUGCCCUAGGGUAACUUAGUGCCAGUGUCUAUUUGGCUGAGAGCAGGGGAACCUGGCCUUCCAGCUGGCCUGGAGACUGGGCAAGCGUCUCUAAUGCUCCCUGCAGCUGAGGCUCGUUGUCCACUGAUGUGAGAAGACAGAAAAGGUGAAGUUUUGUUUAGGCUGGGUUAAGUUGGGGCUCCUGGGUUUAUCCGAUUCAAACACACUGAGAAUAAGCAGCUUUAGAAAUAAAAGAUUAGUCAAUGCAACUUUCUGUUUUCGAAUUAUAAGUAAAGUAGCAUUUGUAGGCUGUUCGGAAAUCCCUAACUUUUCAAUAUCAAAGACUUCAAGAAAAUCUCUCCAAGCCAAUUUAAAACACUCUGAAACACUUGCAUUUAAAAUUAAACUGUUGCAAAACUUCUGUAUAAUGUCUGCUAUUUCUAUAUUCAUAAUUAUUACCAAGUUUCCCGUCUGUACAAAUGGAGAAUUUCACACCCUGGAUAGAAUUCACACAUUUAUUUCCCAUUUUAAGGCAGUAAGCUACCAACUAAAAAAUGAAGUAGACUGACUCUGAAUUCAUGUCUAUAUGUGUAUGUUUCAAAUGAUUCCAUUUUAGAAAUGUUGUGCUAACGUUCAUUUGCACCUCUAUCAGGUCACUUUGAAGCCAUAAUUUGCACCUUCUUAAAGGCAAUUCAAAACCACUUGUACUCAAUUAAUAUGCAAUGUGCUGCUGUUCAAGAAUUGUCAAAGUAAAAGUAUGGUGGAAAUAUACACACAGGCAUGUGUGAUACUGAAAGAAGUUUGUGAUGAGUCUCCUGCCCAACACUUUGCUACUCAGCAAGGAGGUUAUGAAGAGCGUUUGGUCCACUGGGGCCAAGGCACAACAAAUGCCUUUCGGGCAAGCAAAUGAAAGUACUUUGUGUCCUGUGUUCCUUUACUAUGUCACAACCUGUGUUCCUUCGUGUGUUAAGGGGUUUGCUUUUUACCUUCUGGCUAAUUUAUAAUCUAGAGUAUUCUUAUGAAACACAGCUGAGCUUAACUGUAGUGUCAGGAAUGGUUCCUAGAUCCAGGGGCAGGGGCAUCAUAAUAGAAGGUUGCAAAGGCUUGUCUUCAUGAAGAGUCAUUAAUUUGAUCAUUGUACAACUACAAAUGUAAUAAAUUGAGUAAUAUAAAAAAGAAAAAAAAAGUCAUUAAUUUGCUCUACCAAAAUUUGACAGUUUUUCAAUGAAGAAGAAUUGUUAGCUUACAGAUAAAAUUAACAUUGUUAGAAAAACUAUUUCAUGUUGUAAAAAACAUCAAGGACAAUAAAAGAGAUCAUGUCUCCUUUAACUGUUCAAAAAGAGUGAUGAUAGAGUCCUCUAACAGGGAAUAGCAGACUCCACUGUCACCAAUAUUCAUGACCCUGCAUUCCAAAUCAAUUAAAAAAAAAUUUUUUUUUCUAAUUUGCAAGGGUUUACUUCACAGGGAGUCAAAGGUCCAUGGUGUCCUAUCUUACAAAGAAAGGUCUAUAUUUCCAAGAAAUUUAAAGCUGAGAAAAUUUCUCCCUGAGUGACCUUAACUUGAAUGUAUGUUGAAGCAAGGAGUGAUUCAGGCAAUUAAGGAUAAAUUACAAGAUUUUCAAACACUUCCAUGUUAUGAGAAAUUAUGUAAGUGAGGGAAAACUCGUCAUGUUCUAUUAUCUCGGUAGGAAAUUUCAAGCUGCAUUACUUUUCAUAGAAAAUUCCAAAAUUUACAAUUCACAUUUAAUGGUGAUAAAAGUUAUUCCCUCACAUGGAAGUCCAUGCCCCAAUAGAAAAAAAGGUAUUUUGCAAAAUAAAAUAAUUGCAAAAAGUAUACCUAGAUGUUAUUAUAUACUCAAGUGUGACAGCUAAUCAUAAACUUUAGGAAGAAAGGGGCUAAUCAAAUUUAGUUGUAAAAAAAAAAUACAAGCACAUAAACAACUUACAGAUGAAAAUCACUCUCUUGAUUAGUUAAAGUAAUAAGGCUAUAAAUAAAUAAAAUACAGAUGGUUCUCAUGUAUAAGAAGCAAAACACUUAACCAUAUCCUCUAGUGAUUCUUCUCCAUGAAUGGUAGAUUUAACUACAACUUUAUCCUACUGAACCCUGAGUGAAGUUAUUUUAAAGAAUAAGGAGCCUGCACUCUGGAAAAGAGCUUCAUUCAUACAUUCCUUUAUCCAUCAAUUCAACAAAUAUUUACUGGAUUCCCCCUUACAUGCUAGACACUCACUUUUCCAGGCACUGGGCAUCCUUCCAUGAUCAAGAUAAUAUCAUAGCAAUACAGGCCUUCCUCAAAAAGAAGAAAAAUCUCAAAUCGAUAACUUAACCC
rnacentral:lncRNA from 1 species